AUUCUUGGCUCUUUUUCCACCCACGCAGGGAAACCAGGAGGAAUUCCAGAAUCAAAGAGAACCGCAUUCCUCUCUACCACAAAGUACUCACACUUGGCAAAUGGCAAAGAUUUGGGUCAUCAUUUUUUAAACGACAGCCAAGCAUUAAAGAGCCCAGGCAGAGAGCAAGUAAAAGAGUCUCCGUGGUUCCUCCCAGCGCUAGUCUGUGGCCUCAACAACAUAGCACGUUGCAGGAAAAAUUCCAAAUUUCUGGGUCCCAAGGGGAGGCAUUACUCAGCAGUCUCAGCGGUGACGGCGUCAGCAGGACAAGAGCCAUUUGCUCCGGGAGGACUUUGAUGUUUCUUUAAAUGGUUUCUGCAUCUAGUCCAAUAGAAUGGAUACGGAAUUAUCUUUAUUACAACCACAAGGAUGUGCAAAUUUAUUUACAGUAUAAAUGGUUCUUUCCACAAGUCCUAGCUGUCAACAACUCUUUAUUUUCCUGGAGUGACUUAGAAGCCAAGAAUGUUUUGUUUCUUAAGCUUCCUACCUAGAGAGGUAAAAUAACAAUCUUGUUAAUGAGAAGACAAAGAAGCUAACUGUUCUGUUUUGCAGCGUUCCUACAGACCGUACCUUUUAAUUGCCUAGUGCUGGCAACUUAACAUACUGUAAUGAGUACAUUGUUCCUCUUUUUUUGUUUGUUUGUUUUUUCUUUUUUCUUUUUUUUCUUUUUUUUUUUUUUGCACAUAGCUCUCUUGAAGUGCGUUAGAAACUGAGUUUGUUGUACAGAGCAGAGAAGAUUCUUAUUAAAAACUGGCGGAAGCAUUUGGAACAAGCGGUUUAUUUUGACUGGUGAGGAAAGCUGAGCAAAUGGUACAAUCUUGAGGAACAGAGUAAGUGUCAGCGAACCACGUGUUUCCAAAAUGAGCUGGGAACAAGAGUCAGUGUCUGCAGUAGAGCUCUUCAAAGCCUGGGAGAAACUAUGGAGCCGAUGUAUCAAAAUCACACCCAAGACAGAGUUGAUUUGUUUCUUUGAUGUCCCUGACGUUGUUCAUGCAGAAUUCACUCCUUGAGGUCAAAAAGUACAUCAAACUUCUGUAGAAAUUCUAAAUUAUUUGAUACAUUCUCAGCAUUGCAAAAAGAGAAAAUUCUAGUUUAAGGCUCCAACUCAAAGUGUGCCUCUGUGAAGUACUCUUGAAAAAGAAAAAAAACAGCAACAACUG
rnacentral:lncRNA from 1 species